rnacentral:rRNA from 1 species
UACGUAGGGUGCGAGCGUUGUCCGGAAUCAUUGGGCGUAAAGGGCGCGUAGGUGGUUCUGUAUGUCUACCGUGAAAGCGUACGGCUCAACCGUAUUUUGUCGGUGGAAACUGCAGGACUUGAGGCUGGGAGGGGCUGGUGGAAUUCCCUGUGUAGCGGUGAAAUGCGUAGAGAUGGGGAGAACACUCGUGGCGAAGGCGGCCAGCUAGACCAGUUCUGACACUGAGGCGCGACAGCGUGGGGAGCAAACAGG